AUUGAACGCUGGCGGCAUGCCUUACACAUGCAAGUCGAACGGUAACAGGUCUUCGGAUGCUGACGAGUGGCGCACGGGUGAGUAAUACAUCGGAACGUGCCCAGACGUGGGGGAUAACGAGGCGAAAGCUUUGCUAAUACCGCAUACGAUCUAAGGAUGAAAGCAGGGGACCGCAAGGCCUGGCGCGUUUGGAGCGGCCGAUGGCAGAUUAGGUAGUUGGUGGGAUAAAAGCUUACCAAGCCGACGAUCUGUAGCUGGUCUGAGAGGACGACCAGCCACACUGGGACUGAGACACGGCCCAGACUCCUACGGGAGGCAGCAGUGGGGAAUUUUGGACAAUGGGCGAAAGCCUGAUCCAGCAAUGCCGCGUGCAGGAUGAAGGCCUUCGGGUUGUAAACUGCUUUUGUACGGAACGAAAAGGCUCUGGCUAAUACCUGGGGCACAUGACGGUACCGUAAGAAUAAGCACCGGCUAACUACGUG
rnacentral:rRNA from 1 species